UUGGUAUGCACUGGCUUUACUGAUUCCUCCUUCUUGACGAACCAUGAUGUCAUUAAUUUGGUGUUGCGGGAAAUCAGGACUGUUACUUUGAAAAAAUUAGAGUGUUUAAAGCAGGCUCACGCUUGAAUACAUUAGCAUGGAAUAAUGAAAUAGGACGUUUGAUUCUAUUUUGUUGGUUUCUAGGAUCGACGUAAUGAUUAAUAGGGAUAGUUGGGGGCAUUAGUAUUCAAUUGUCAGAGGUGAAAUUCUUGGAUUUAUUGAAGACUAACUACUGCGAAAGCAUUUGCCAAGGAUGUUUUCAUUAAUCAAGAACGAGAGUUAGGGGAUCGAAGACGAUCAGAUACCGUCGUAGUCUUAACCAUAAACUAUGCCGACUAGGGAUCGGAUGAUGUUAAUUUUUUAAUGACUCAUUCGGCGCCUUACG
rnacentral:rRNA from 1 species